CUCCGAUUGCGUAGGCAGCUUUACCAGCCUGGAACUGACGCUGAUGCACGAAAGCGUGGGUAUCUAACAGGAUUAGAUACCAUGGUAGUUCACGCCGUAAUCGAUGAUCACUCGCUGUUGGCAAUAUAGAGUCAGCGGCUGAGCGAAAGCAUUAAGUGAUCCACCUGGGGAGUACGUCGGCAACGAUGAAACUCAAAGGAAUUGACGGGGGCCCGCACAAGCGGUGGAACAUAUGGUUUAAUUCGAUGAUACGCGAGGAACCUUACCUGGGCUUAAAUGUAGCCGGACGAUUCCGGAAACGGGAUUUCCUUAACGGCUGGUUACAAGGUGCUGCAUGGCUGUCGUCAGCUCGUGCCGUGAGGUGUCGGGUUAAGUCCCAUAACGAGCGCAACCCUUAUUCUUAGUUGCCAGCGGGUAGAGCCGGGGACUCUAAGGAGACUGCCACCGUAAGGUGUGAGGAAGGUGGGGAUGACGUCAAGUCAGCACGGCCCUUACGUCCAGGGCUACACACGUGUUACAAUGGCCGGUACAGAAGGCAGCANACUUGAGAGAGGGCGCGAAUCCAUGAAAGCCGGUCUCAGUUCGGAUUGGAGUCUGCAACCCGACUUCAUGAAGUUGGAAUCGCUAGUAAUCGCGCAUCAGCAACGGCGCGGUGAUACGUUCCCGGGCAUUGUACACACCGCCCGUCAAGCCAUGA
rnacentral:rRNA from 1 species